GAUGAACGCUGGCGGCGUGCCUAAUACAUGCAAGUCGAGCGAACGGACGAGAAGCUUGCUUCUCUGAUGUUAGCGGCGGACGGGUGAGUAACACGUGGAUAACCUACCUAUAAGACUGGGAUAACUUCGGGAAACCGGAGCUAAUACCGGAUAAUAUUUUGAACCGCAUGGUUCAAAAGUGAAAGACGGUCUUGCUGUCACUUAUAGAUGGAUCCGCGCUGCAUUAGCUAGUUGGUAAGGUAACGGCUUACCAAGGCAACGAUGCAUAGCCGACCUGAGAGGGUGAUCGGCCACACUGGAACUGAGACACGGUCCAGACUCCUACGGGAGGCAGCAGUAGGGAAUCUUCCGCAAUGGGCGAAAGCCUGACGGAGCAACGCCGCGUGAGUGAUGAAGGUCUUCGGAUCGUAAAACUCUGUUAUUAGGGAAGAACAUAUGUGUAAGUAACUGUGCACAUCUUGACGGUACCUAAUCAGAAAGCCACGGCUAACUACGUGCCAGCAGCCGCGGUAAUACGUAGGUGGCAAGCGUUAUCCGGAAUUAUUGGGCGUAAAGCGCGCGUAGGCGGUUUUUUAAGUCUGAUGUGAAAGCCCACGGCUCAACCGUGGAGGGUCAUUGGAAACUGGAAAACUUGAGUGCAGAAGAGGAAAGUGGAAUUCCAUGUGUAGCGGUGAAAUGCGCAGAGAUAUGGAGGAACACCAGUGGCGAAGGCGACUUUCUGGUCUGUAACUGACGCUGAUGUGCGAAAGCGUGGGGAUCAAACAGGAUUAGAUACCCUGGUAGUCCACGCCGUAAACGAUGAGUGCUAAGUGUUAGGGGGUUUCCGCCCCUUAGUGCUGCAGCUAACGCAUUAAGCACUCCGCCUGGGGAGUACGACCGCAAGGUUGAAACUCGAAGGAAUUGACGGGGACCCGCACAAGCGGUGGAGCAUGUGGUUUAAUUCGAAGCAACGCGAAGAACCUUACCAAAUCUUGACAUCCUUUGACAACUCUAGAGAUAGAGCUUUCCCCUUCGGGGGACAAAGUGACAGGUGGUGCAUGGUUGUCGUCAGCUCGUGUCGUGAGAUGUUGGGUUAAGUCCCGCAACGAGCGCAACCCUUAAGCUUAGUUGCCAUCAUUAAGUUGGGCACUCUAAGUUGACUGCCGGUGACAAACCGGAGGAAGGUGGGGAUGACGUCAAAUCAUCAUGCCCCUUAUGAUUUGGGCUACACACGUGCUACAAUGGACAAUACAAAGGGCAGCGAAACCGCGAGGUCAAGCAAAUCCCAUAAAGUUGUUCUCAGUUCGGAUUGUAGUCUGCAACUCGACUACAUGAAGCUGGAAUCGCUAGUAAUCGUAGAUCAGCAUGCUACGGUGAAUACGUUCCCGGGUCU
rnacentral:rRNA from 1 species